AACAAAGCAAGCAGAAGCCAUGGUGGACGACGAAGCUAGAAGUCAACGCCUCUGCCCCCGCCUUCCCCUGCGAAUCUGUGAAUCUGGUGCUACUUCAGAGUGCAAUUAGGGUUAUGAACUAAAUUAUGAAUACAUUCUCUCCACCAGAAGUGAUGCUUUUCCAGGAUGAAACAGUGGUGAAGAAGUGCAGAAAGUAAGAUCUAUUUGGAGAACUUACAUUCAUCUAUAGCAUCAAGAAACUAAGGUCUAUUGGGAGAAGAGGAGAAGAAGAAAGGGCUUUCUCUUUCUCCUGCUGAUUCUAUCUGUGUCCAAAGGAAGAAAUUCACCAUUCACAUAUGUCAUUGUUGACAACCAAAAGUGAAAAAACUCGUACAUGCAUUUCCACUCAAGGAUAUCCACACAAAUCAAAAUUGUCUUCAGCCCUUGAUGGAGUAAAUAUUGUCUACUUAGAUGGAAGAUUGCAUGAGACUGCUUUUCUUGUAGCGCAAGAGGUAUACCCAUCAUCUACACUUGAUCAAAGUCAUUGAAGUAGAAGGCUGUGGAUUCUGCAUUGAUCGACAUUGAAGCAUUGCUGGAUUUGAAGGCUUAUUUGGGUGCAUCGAUCAUACUUAAGUAGUAUUGAUUAAGUAGUAUAUAUUUUCAUGAUUUAUUUAUUUAUUUAUUUUUAUUUUUUUUGUAUGAUAAUAGUUCAUUGUUGGAAGUACAAUGGACAUGACCAUAAUUUUGAUGUUUAAAUAUAUUUUCAAUUU